AGAGAUGAUCUCUGUCGGCAUGUCGAUGACUGAUCGCCCAGCUCGCAGAGAUGAUCUCUGUCGGCAUGUCGAUGACUGAUCGCCCAGCUCGCAGAGAUGAUCUCUGUCGGCAUGUCGAUGACUGAUCGCCCAGCUCGCAGAGAUGAUCUCUGCUGGCCUGUCGAUGACUGAUCGCCCAGCUCGCAGAGAUGAUCUCU
rnacentral:pre_miRNA from 1 species